UUGUUUAUUUGAGUAUUCAGGUGUCAAUCUGUCAUUUGUCCAAUCAGGGUCUAUUAGGGAUGAGUAUGGGGUAAACUACCGGAUUCUGAGAGGGCGGGAUUAAAGAGAGAGACGGAGAAACACUGUGCUGUUCAUAAGUUUAUAAAAUAGUGUUAAAGUUACUUUAUUUCUUUAAUUAAAAACGCUGAGGGUGUUUAUGAGUCUGGACUCUGCUAAGAGGACGAAGAAGACAAGUGCCUCGUGUGGACUGUUGCUAGGACGAGCAUUAGCCGUUGCUAUGGAGGAGCACAACUUUCAUCAGCUGCCAGUGGACAGAGGUUUUGAACUAAACAAACAACGUUUCUAUCCAGUUAGAGUCCUCCCUGUGAGACUCUGAUUUGUCCAGUUGAGAGGAAGACAACAUCUGGUGUGGUCAGAGGUUCAGAGGUUUUCUUUCCUCUGUACCAGAAGUAUUUCCAACCAGAUGAUGAUGGGUUCACAGAGCAGUUUGUUGAAUUGCAGGUUGUGGCUGGUGAUUGGACGGGAGAACAAAUGUGGUUACUUUAAAAUGGAACUUGCUUCAUUCUCUCUUUUCCCUGACUGUCAAUCAAACUGUGCUGUGCCAAAAUGUGUCGUGCUACCAAGUGUCUAAUCUCUGAAGUAUCUUGUAAAAGAGCAGACCUUACAGCUCUUUGGGUAAGAAAACCUUUUUGUUAAUUUAUUUUCCCCUGUUUAUGUUAAGGACGAAGUACGAUGCCUGUGUUUUCUUUUGUUUUCUUUUAGAUAAGUAUCAUAAAAUGAUAUAUGGUUCUGUUAACUGUUUUAGCCAUGCUCUUCCCUACACCUGUUCUACCCUGAUUUGGCAUAAAUAAAUUCAGUUUGGACUGCA